rnacentral:rRNA from 1 species
UACGGAGGGGGCAAGCGUUAUUCGGAAUUAUUGGGCGUAAAGGGCGCGUAGGCGGCUAGAUGUGUCAAAGGUGAAAUCCCUCGGCUCAACUGAGGAACUGCCUUUGAAACUGUCUGGCUUGAGGCCGGGAGAGGGUAGCGGAAUUCCCAGUGUAGCGGUGGAAUGCGCAGAUAUCAGGAGGAACACCGGUGGCGAAGGCGGGUCUCUGGGCCGAUACUGACGCUGAGGAGCGAAAGCGUGGGGAGCGAACAGG